rnacentral:rRNA from 1 species
GACUGCUAAGACUGGAUAGGAAAUAAAAAGGCAUCUUUUUAUUUUUAAAAGACCUUUUUCGGAAGGUAUGCUUAAAGAUGAGCUUGCGCCACAUUAGUUUGUUGGUGGGGUAAUGGCCUACCAAGGCGAUGAUGUGUAGCUGGACUGAGAGGUCGAACAGCCACAUUGGGACUGAGACACGGCCCAAACUCCUACGGGAGGCAGCAGUAGGGAAUCUUCGGCAAUGGAGGAAACUCUGACCGAGCAACGCCGCGUGAACGAUGAAGUAUUUCGGUAUGUAAAGUUCUUUUAUUGAAGAAGAAAAAAUAGUGGAAAAGCUAUCUUGACGUUAUUCAAUGAAUAAGCCCCGGCUAACUAUGUGCCAGCAGCCGCGGUAAGACAUAGGGGGCGAGCGUUAUCCGGAAUUAUUGGGCGUAAAGGGUGCGUAGGCGGUUAGGAAAGUCUAUAAUUUAAUUUCAGUGCUUAACGCUGCCUUGUUAUAGAAACUACCUUGACUAGAGUUAGAUAGAGGCAAGCGGAAUUCCAUGUGUAGCGGUAAAAUGUGUAAAUAUAUGGAGGAACACCAGAAGCGUAGGCGGCUUGCUGGGUCUUGACUGACGCUGAGGCACGAAAGCGUGGGUAGCAACCAGGAUUAGAUACCCUGGUAGUCCACGCCGUAAACGAUGAGUACUAAGUGUCGGGAUAAAACUCGGUACUGAAGUUAACACAUUAAGUACUCCGCCUGAGUAGUACGUACGCAAGUAUGAAACUUAAAGGAAUUGACGGGACUCCGCACAAGCGGUGGAUCAUGUUGUUUAAUUCGAAGAUACCCGAAAAAUCUUACCAGGUCUUGACAUGCUCUGCAAAGCUAUAGAAAUAUAGUGGAGGUUAUCAGGGACACAGGUGGUGCAUGGUUGUCGUCAGUUCGUGUCGUGAGAUGUUAGGUUAAGUCCUAAAACGAGCGCAACCCUUGUCGUUAGUUACCAGCACGUAAUGGUGGGCACUUUAACGAGACUGCCAAUUAAACAUUGGAGGAAGGUGAGGAUUACGUCAAAUCAUCAUGCCCCUUAUGAUCUGGGCUACAAACGUGAUACAAUGGCUGUUACAAAGAGUAGCUGAAGCGCGAGUUUUUAGCCAAUCUCAAAAAAGCAGUCUCAGUUCGGAUUGAAGUCUGUAACUCGACUUCAUGAAGUUGGAAUCGCUAGUAAUCGCGAAUCAGCAUGUCGCGGUGAAUACGUUCGCGGGGUUUGUACACACCG